ensembl:snRNA U7 U7 small nuclear RNA
AAGUGUUACAGAUCUUUUAGAAUUUGUCUAGCAGGUUUUCAGGUAUUCACUGGAAGACUCCC